CGGCUCAGCGGCGACCCCCGCCCAGCGGCUGCAACGGCCCUAGCGCCGCCGCUAUUCCUCCGAACAUGGCGGCCUAGGCCAGCAGGUUAGCGGCCACAACAGCCAAUGGAGCACCGCCCACCCUACCUGCCGACCAAUAGCAAGCGCCGCCCACCUGAAACCAAUCCCCAGAGGGAUACCGCCGAGGCCUGGCCAAUCAGAGAUCGGCAUCCGUUACCUAGCGAGCUGAGGCGAGGCAGCCAAUCAUAAAAUAGGAGGGGGGCAAGGAGAAUACCUGCAGCGAGCGCGGAGAGGGCGGGACACUCAUCUGCCUCGGCGGGGUGGCAGGGUUCCCACAGGCUCUCUUAGAACAGUAGAGGUCUCCACAUCCCUCAGUAGAAGUAAAAGGCAUCUGUUGCAAGUCAAUUAAACUCAUUUACAAAGAGAAAUCUCAAAGUGGGUUCAGAAACUAGGUUCCCAAGUGAGCAAUUUUCCAGUUUCAGCUAAAAGAACAUCUCUACUAUCUCAGGAGGUUUGCAACCUUUUCAAGGCCCCGUAUUUCACUAAGACAACGGACACAAUCCAAAGAUUAUCCAAAUAAACCUAUGCAAGAGGAAAAAGGCAAUCAAAACAAACAAAAUGAAGAUACAAAGGAAAUAACUAAAAAAAAAAAAAGAAUAACUCCAAAGAGCCAACCCUGAUAAAAACUCAAACAAGUAAAUAAAAUACUUUUGCCUGAACAGCUUCAAAAACAAGCUGCAGGGAGUCCCUGUCCUGCAGAGCCUCCCAAGUGUGUCAAAAGAGAGAUGGAUGGCUGACCUACCCAUUGGCUCAACUCAGAGAUUUUUCAUUAUAGAUUCUGUGUGAUUCUUUUGAUCUCUCCAUCCUUCUGUUUCUAGGCAGUGAGGCAACAUGGGGAGAAAGGUCAGCAGAUGGCACUUUUUGGAGAUGAUGUCAGUUUUCCUCUAUGGAUUAGCUAACAAGCAACAAGGCCCCAUCACUAGAACAAGCAGCAGGAGCCGCAUUUUGAUCUGCACUCCUUACUAACGGCCAAAUCCAUCCCUCUCACUGUACUAAAGCAAGUAGUUCCAUUACCAGAAAGCAUUCAGGGACUACCUGGCUGAAGUAAGAUGAAUGGAAUUUGGGGCUCGACCCUGCAAACAUUUCCUCAACGCAUUUUGCCCUGACUGAAGCAUGAAGGAAACCCGCUGAAGGACUUAUUGAUUUGCCAGUGCAGACACAGCAUUCAUAAAUGUGCUUCUGUUCCAAUAAUGGCAUAUUGGAGAUGAACAUAUGGCCUUCACAUGUCCUCCCUUUCAAGAUCCCAACAUCACAAUCUUUUUACCUAA